UCUGGCCCCAGGCCCGAGUUGUAAUUUGUAGAGGAUGCUUUUGGCGCGGCGCCUUCUGAGUUCCCUGGAACGGGACGCCAAAGAGGGUGAGAGCCCCGUAUAGUUGGACGCCUAGCCUCUGUAAAGCUCCUUCGACGAGUCGAGUAGUUUGGGAAUGCUGCUCUAAAUGGGAGGUAAAUUUCUUCUAAAGCUAAAUACCGGCUGGAGACCGAUAGCGCACAAGUAGAGUGAUCGAAAGAUGAAAAGCACUUUGAAAAGAGGGUUAAACAGCACGUGAAAUUGUUGAAAGGGAAGCGCUUGUGACCAGACUUGCGCCUUGCCAAUCAUCCGGCGUUCUCGCCGGUGCACUUGGCUUGGUUCAGGCCAGCAUCGGUUUUCCCAGGGGGAUAAAAGCGCCGGGAACGUAGCUCCCUCGGGAGUGUUAUAGCCCGGUGCACAAUACCUCUGGGGGGACCGAGGAACGCGCUCCGCAAGGAUGCUGGCGUAAUGGUCAUCAGCGACCCGUCUU
rnacentral:rRNA from 1 species